rnacentral:misc_RNA from 1 species
GAUGAAGAACGUAGCGAAAUGCGAUAAGUAAUGUGAAUUGCAGAAUUCAGUGAAUCAUCGAAUCUUUGAACGCACCUUGCGCUCCUUGGUAUUCCGAGGAGCAUGCCUGUUUGAGUGUCAUGAAAUUCUCAACCUUUUCAGCUUUCUUUGUUGAUCAGGCUUGGAUGUGGGAGUAUGCGGGCUUCUCAGAAGUCGGCUCUCCUGAAAUGCAUUAGCGGGACCUUUGUUGCCUGGCUUUGGUGUGAUUAUUAUCUACGCCAUUGUAGUCAAGCAGCUUAAAAUGAGGUUUCAGCUUCUAACCGUCUCCCCUGAGACAACUUUUUGACAAUUUGACCUCAAAUCAGGUAGGACUACCCGCUGAACUUAAGCAUAUCAAUAAGCGGAGGA